rnacentral:rRNA from 1 species
CCUACGGGAGGCUGCAGUGGGGAAUAUUGCACAAUGGGGGAAACCCUGAUGCAGCGACGCCGCGUGCGUGAAGAAGUAUUUCGGUACGUAAAGCUCUAUCAGCAGGGAAGAAAAAAAGUCCUUUGGACUUUGGACGGUACCUGACCAAGCAGCCCCGGCUAACUACGUGCCAGCAGCCGCGGUAAUACGUAGGGGGCAAGCGUUAUCCGGAUUUACUGGGUGUAAAGGGAGCGUAGACGGCCGCGCAAGUCUGGAGUGAAAUGCCGGGGCCCAACCCCGGAACUGCUUUGGAAACUGUGCAGCUGGAGUGCAGGAGAGGUAGGCGGAAUGCAUAGUGUAGCGGUGAAAUGCGUAGAUAUUAGGCGGAACACCAGUGGCGAAGGCGGCUUACUGGACUGUAACUGACGUUGAGGCUCGAAAGCGUGGGGAGCAAACAGGAUUAGAUACCCUUGUAGUC